rnacentral:rRNA from 1 species
GAGGAAUGCGGGCGGCGUGCCUAAUACAUGCAAGUCGAGCGAACGGACGAGAAGCUUGCUUCUCUGAUGUUAGCGGCGGACGGGUGAGUAACACGUGGAUAACCUACCUAUAAGACUGGGAUAACUUCGGGAAACCGGAGCUAAUACCGGAUAAUAUUUUGAACCGCAUGGUUCAAAAGUGAAAGACGGUCUUGCUGUCACUUAUAGAUGGAUCCGCGCUGCAUUAGCUAGUUGGUAAGGUAACGGCUUACCAAGGCAACGAUGCAUAGCCGACCUGAGAGGGUGAUCGGCCACACUGGAACUGAGACACGGUCCAGACUCCUACGGGAGGCAGCAGUAGGGAAUCUUCCGCAAUGGGCGAAAGCCUGACGGAGCAACGCCGCGUGAGUGAUGAAGGUCUUCGGAUCGUAAAACUCUGUUAUUAGGGAAGAACAUAUGUGUAAGUAACUGUGCACAUCUUGACGGUACCUAAUCAGAAAGCCACGGCUAACUACGUG